rnacentral:rRNA from 1 species
GAUGAACGCUGGCGGCGUGCCUAAUACAUGCAAGUCGAGCGAACGGACGAGAAGCUUGCUUCUCUGAUGUUAGCGGCGGACGGGUGAGUAACACGUGGAUAACCUACCUAUAAGACUGGGAUAACUUCGGGAAACCGGAGCUAAUACCGGAUAAUAUUUUGAACCGCAUGGUUCAAAAGUGAAAGACGGUCUUGCUGUCACUUAUAGAUGGAUCCGCGCUGCAUUAGCUAGUUGGUAAGGUAACGGCUUACCAAGGCAACGAUGCAUAGCCGACCUGAGAGGGUGAUCGGCCACACUGGAACUGAGACACGGUCCAGACUCCUACGGGAGGCAGCAGUAGGGAAUCUUCCGCAAUGGGCGAAAGCCUGACGGAGCAACGCCGCGUGAGUGAUGAAGGUCUUCGGAUCGUAAAACUCUGUUAUUAGGGAAGAUCAUAUGUGUAAGUAACUGUGCACAUCUUGACGGUACCUAAUCAGAAAGCCAUGGCUAACUACGU